rnacentral:rRNA from 1 species
CAGUCGCCGCGGGAAUACGAAGGGUGCAAGCGUUACUCGGAAUUACUGGGCGUAAAGCGUGCGUAGGUGGUUGUUUAAGUCUGCUGUGAAAGCCCUGGGCUCAACCUGGGAAUUGCAGUGGAUACUGGGCAACUAGAGUAAGGUAGAGGAUAGUGGAAUUUCCGGUGUAGCAGUGAAAUGCGUAGAGAUCGGAAGGAACAUCUGUGGCGAAGGCGACUAUCUGGGCCAUUACUGACACUGAGUCACGAAAGCGUGGGGAGCAAACAGGAUUAGAUACCCCAGUAGUCCCUGUCUCUUAUAC